rnacentral:rRNA from 1 species
UACGAAACCUUUACAAUGCACGAAAGUGUGAUAAGGGGAUUCCGAGUGCUCAUGCAUUGCAUGGGCUUUUGCCAAAGGUAAAUACUUUGGCGAAUAAGGGGUGGGUAAGACGGGUGCCAGCCGCCGCGGUAACACCUGCGCCCCAAGUGGGAACCGGCUUUAUUUGGUCUAAAGCGUCCGUAGCCGGGCAAGCAAAUUCUCUGUGAAAUCGGUCAGCUCAACUGAUCGGCGUGCAGGGGACACUACUUGUCUUGGGACUGGGAGAGGUUAGAAGUAUGUUGGGGGUAGCGGUAAAAUGUUUUAAUCCCCGAUGGACUACCUAUGGCGAAGGCAUCUAACCAGAACAGAUCCGACGGUGAGGGACGAAAGCUAGGGGAGCGAUCCGGAUUAGAUACCCGAGUAGUCCUAGCCGUAAACGCUGUGAGCAAGGUGUUGCGCAAUCUCCUUGAUUGUGCAGUGUCGAAACGAGGUGAUAAGCUCACCGCCUGGGAAGUACGGUCG